GUGCUUGCCUCACCAGCACAUAUACUAAAGUUGGAAUGAUAACAGAGAUUAGCAUGGCCUCUGUGUGAAGAUGACAUGCAAAUUCAUAAAGUGUUUCAUAUUUUA